CGGCAGCACGGGUGCUUGCACCUGGUGGCGAGUGGCGAACGGGUGAGUAAUACAUCGGAACGUACCUUAUCGUGGGGGAUAACGCAGCGAAAGUUGCGCUAAUACCGCAUACGCCCUGAGGGGGAAAGCGGGGGACCGUAAGGCCUCGCGCGAUUAGAGCGGCCGAUGUCUGAUUAGCUUGUUGGUGAGGUAAAAGCUCACCAAGGCGAUGAUCAGUAGCUGGUCUGAGAGGACGAUCAGCCACACUGGGACUGAGACACGGCCCAGACUCCUACGGGAGGCAGCAGUGGGGAAUUUUGGACAAUGGGGGCAACCCUGAUCCAGCAAUGCCGCGUGAGUGAAGAAGGCCUUCGGGUUGUAAAGCUCUUUUGUCAGGGAAGAAACAGCAGCUCUAACACAGACUGCGAAUGACGGUACCUGAAGAAUAAGCACCGGCUAACUACGUGCCAGCAGCCGCGGUAAUACGUAGGGUGCGAGCGUUAAUCGGAAUUACUGGGCGUAAAGCGUGCGCAGGCGGUUAUACAAGACAGGCGUGAAAUCCCCGGGCUUAACCUGGGAAUGGCGUCUGUGACUGUAUAGCUAGAGUGUGUCAGAGGGGGGUGGAAUUCCACGUGUAGCAGUGAAAU
rnacentral:rRNA from 1 species